AGUGAACGCUGGCGGUAGGCCUAACACAUGCAAGUCGAACGGCAGCACAGUAAGAGCUUGCUCUUACGGGUGGCGAGUGGCGGACGGGUGAGGAAUACAUCGGAAUCUACUUUUUCGUGGGGGAUAACGUAGGGAAACUUACGCUAAUACCGCAUACGACCUACGGGUGAAAGCAGGGGAUCUUCGGACCUUGCGCGAGUGAAUGAGCCGAUGUCGGAUUAGCUAGUUGGCGGGGUAAAGGCCCACCAAGGCGACGAUCCGUAGCUGGUCUGAGAGGAUGAUCAGCCACACUGGAACUGAGCCACGGUCCAGACUCCUACGGGAGGCAGCAGUGGGGAAUAUUGGACAAUGGGCGCAAGCCUGAUCCAGCCAUACCGCGUGGGUGAAGAAGGCCUUCGGGUUGUAAAGCCCUUUUGUUGGGAAAGAAAAGCAGCAGGUUAAUACCCCGCUGUUCUGACGGUACCCAAAGAAUAAGCACCGGCUAACUUCGUG
rnacentral:rRNA from 1 species